rnacentral:lncRNA from 1 species
GCAUUUGAUUUGGCUGCUCUCAGACUCGCUCUUUGUGAACCGUUAGAUUCCGUCCGACUGUAUUUGUCCAGAGCAACUUUAAUUGUUGUUCCGUCGUAUUUAGUUGAUCAUUGGAAAACCCAAAUCCAACAGCAUGUCAGACCUGGACAGUUGCAUCUUUUUGUCUGGACCGAUCAUAAAAAGCCUUCUGCUCAUAGUCUGGCUUGGGACUAUGAUGUUGUUAUAACUACAUUUAACCGUUUAAGUGCAGAGUGGGGUCGGCGAAAGAAAAGUCCAAUGAUGCAAGUUCAUUGGCUUAGGGUUAUGUUAGAUGAAGGGCAUACCCUUGGUUCAAGUCUUAACUUGACAAACAAAUUGCAAAUGGCUAUUUCAUUGACAGCUUCAAAUCGUUGGUUAUUAACAGGAACCCCGACUCCAAACACACCUAAUAGCCAGUUGUCACAUCUUCAACCAAUGCUUAAGUUCCUCCAUGAAGAAGCAUAUGGCCAGAAUCAAAAGGCAUGGGAUGGUGGCAUUCUUAGACCAUUUGAGGCAGAGAUGGAGGAGGGUCGAUCCCGUCUGUUGCAGCUACUCCAUAGGUGCAUGAUCAGUGCAAGAAAGACAGAUUUGCAAACCAUUCCUCUUUGCAUCAAGGAGGUGACAUUUUUAAAUUUCACUGAGGAGCAUGCAGGAACUUACAAUGAAUUGGUAGUUACAGUGCGGCGUAAUAUACUAAUGGCUGAUUGGAACGAUCCUUCACAUGUUGAAAGUUUACUGAAUCCAAAGCAGUGGAAGUUCCGAAGUACAACUAUUAGGAAUCUAAGGCUAUCCUGCUGUGUGGCUGGCCACAUUAAAGUAACAGAUGCUGGCGAAGAUAUUCAAGAAACGAUGGAUGUUUUGGUUGAAAAUGGCCUCGAUCCUCUAUCACAGGAGUAUGCUUUUAUUAAAUAUAACCUCCUUAAUGGUGGUAAUUGUCUCAGGUAAUACCUCGCUUUCGAGGUUUUUUAUGGGGUUUUCUCUGAAUUUCUGUGAAAUGUCUGAAAUUUUUAUUAAUACUAGUUUUAAAUCCUCUUAUUUUUGGCUUAGGUGCAAUGAAUGGUGCCGCCUACCAGUUAUUACACCCUGCAGGCAUAUCCUUUGCCUUGAUUGUGUUGCUAUGGACAGUGAAAAGUGCUCUUUGCCUGGCUGCGGUUUCUUAUACGAGAUGCAGAGUCCUGAAAUAUUAACCCGCCCUGAAAAUCCCAACCCAAAGUGGCCAGUCCCUCAAGAUCUUAUUGAGUUACAACCUUCGUAUAGGCAGGUACGCAAUCUUCAAAGUUGAAAUACUUCUAUCAACAUUCCUAUUAAAACUGGAUUAUUUUUAUUUGUCAACGUUCAUAUGUAAAGAAUGUUAACAGUGCAUUUGUUUACACUUAUUUAGGAUGAUUGGAAUCCUGAUUGGCAGUCAACAUCUAGCAGUAAAGUUGCUUAUCUUGUAGAGAAGUUGAAAGUAUUGCAGGAGGCUAAUUGGGAGAUAUGUUAUGCUUUUAGUGAAGACAGUAGUGUCAAACACAUUGAGGAGCUACCUUUCACCCCUCAGUGGAGCAAUACAAACACAUUUUUGAAGCAAGAUUUAUACAGACAAAAUUUGGAGUCUAACAAGGCACUCCCUGAUAAAGUUAUUAUUUUUUCUCAAUUUCUUGAGCAUAUACAUGUCAUCGAGCAGCAGGUAGCAGUAUUUUCUCAUUUUGUAGGCAUGCCUUUUUGUGGUUUAUUUCAUAGACAGUGGAUUACAAAUUGCUCGUCUUUUUGGCAGUUAACAGUUGCUGGUAUCAAAUUUGCUGGUAUGUACAGUCCAAUGCAUUCUAGCAACAAGGUGCUUUGUCCUCAAUUUCCUGCAACUAGUUUAUUUUUUUUCAAUUUUUUCUUCUUUUGCUCUAAGUUAAUUUGCUUCUUCUUUAACAGAUAAAGUCACUGGACAUGUUCCGGCACGACGCUAGCUGUCUGGCUCUUUUAAUGGAUGGAAGUGCAUCAUUGGGUCUUGAUUUGAGCUUUGUAACUCGUGUGUUUCUAAUGGAACCAAUCUGGGAUAGAAGGUAAUAAUAUUUUAUCUUCUUUUUAUCUUCUUUUUUAUUUGAUAAGGAAGGUAAUACUAUUUUAUCAUGAUCAAGGAUAUUUGAGAUUUUGCUUAAAUGAGUUUCUUACUUUCUUCAAUGCCUCAAUGUUAGAUUAGUUACAAGUUUUAUUUUCAUACAAAUUUAUAUUUAGGGAAUUGGAAAGAAUGUGUUAUUAUCUGCUAUUAAUAUAGUUUUGCUUCAUACAACCUACUGCGGCAGGUGCUUUUCACCAACGCAUUUGUAACUAAUUGCGUAUAGAUUUUGGAUUAUUCUUAUUGGAUUUUUGUGUCUGAACAUCUGUUUAACACCUUAAUUGAUCCUUCUUUUCUUUUAACCUAAUUGGAGUUAAAUUGUCUCAUUUGUUUGAAACCCUAUCAGCAUGGAGGAACAAGUCAUUAGUCGCGCUCAUCGGAUGGGCGCUACUCGUCCUAUUCAUGUGGAAACUUUGGCAAUGCGUGGUACAGUUGAAGAGCAAAUGCUUGAAUUCCUACAGGUAUAGUCUGAUUCUAAUAUUAUUUCUUCUGUCAAAUCAGUGAUUGUGCAUCAGGUAAUUUAAAUAUGGAGAGAACUCCUCAAUUGUAGUGAAAAUCUAGUAGCAAAUAUGCAUUUGAUAGAUUUUGGUAAAAUAGUUUCCAAAUAUGUGAGCAGAAUCUCAAUUAAGUUUUUCAUAACUGAAAUUAAGGUACAUUCCUUUAACAAUUACCCUUCCGUCUAAUUGUUGUUUGGGGGGGGGGGGGGGGGUUGAAAAANNNNNNNNNNNNNNNNNNNNNNNNNNNNNNNNNNNNNNNNNNNNNNNNNNNNNNNNNNNNNNNNNNNNNNNNNNNNNNNNNNNNNNNNNNNNNNNNNNNNNNNNNNNNNNNNNNNNNNNNNNNNNNNNNNNNNNNNNNNNNNNNNNNNNNNNNNNNNNNNNNNNNNNNNNNNNNNNNNNNNNNNNNNNNNNNNNNNNNNNNNNNNNNNNNNNNNNNNNNNNNNNNNNNNNNNNNNNNNNNNNNNNNNNNNNNNNNNNNNNNNNNNNNNNNNNNNNNNNNNNNNNNNNNNNNNNNNNNNNNNNNNNNNNNNNNNNNNNNNNNNNNNNNNNNNNNNNNNNNNNNNNNNNNNNNNNNNNNNNNNNNNNNNNNNNNNNNNNNNNNNNNNNNNNNNNNNNNNNNNNNNNNNNNNNNNNNNNNNNNNNNNNNNNNNNNNNNNNNNNNNNNNNNNNNNNNNNNNNNNNNNNNNNNNNNNNNGGAUAUUGACUUGAAUUAAGAAUACAUAGAUUGUGAAAAUGAUGUAUAUAUGAUUUUAUAAUGAAAACUGCACUUAGUUAUAUUGUUUCACAUUUAUUGCCUUGCGUCAGCAUAUAGGAGCCUGUGGAUCUAUCUUGGCCCAGUACUAACAGGUUUGGGGCAGCAUGUCUGAAUCCUGUGAACUUGAUGAGAUCCUAUAGCAGUACAAAGAUUCUCUGGCGCUUUUAUCCAGUCAUCUGUACAGUAGAGAGAAUAUAUACUUGUUCUGAGAGAGAGGGAGGGAGAGAGAGGAUGGAAAAGUUCUGCAUUAUUAUGUUUAACAAUAAUUGUCUUUCAAUAGAUCGCUCUCUUGUAAUAUACACAAACAUUUUGGUCAUUACAUUGUCUACUAAUUGACUCAGUUUAAUAAUUUGCUGCAUGCUUCUCUAGGAUACCGAUAGGUGUAGAAGAUUGUUGAAAGAAGAGCUUGUCAAACCUGAACGUGAAGGGGCUCGAUCUCAUCGUACACUACAUGACUUUGCAGAGAGCAAUUAUUUAUCUCAUCUUAGCUUUGUGCGAACAAACUCAUAGGCAAAAAGGUAUAGGGAUACACAUACCCCAUAACCCAUAAUCCGCAGUUAGUUAUUACUUCACAGAAAAGAGCAUUUUACAUUUUCCAUUGUGGAGGAAAUAAAGCUUGGAACUUGUUGGGUGAAAAAGUUAUCUGGAGUUUACCUCAUCUUCAUUCUCUGUAAGUCAAUGUUAUUAGGAUAUGAAUUUUUCUAUUCUAUAGUAGAUAUUUAUUAUAAUUUCUAUUGAUGAUUUAAAAUAUUAGAGAUGCAUGUCUGUAGGGUAAGACAUUAGGAAACUUUAAUUAUGAGCUUGGCUAUUCUUUCACCAUUGUUGAAUUGGGUGAUGACGUGUCUUAAAAGAAUCAUUACUUAUUUGUUUAUGUUUUGUCCCUAUUUGAAAUUGAAUUAGUUAUCAUUUUUGUGAUGUUCAUCAUUUGCAACCUGGGCAGGGCUUUAGAUUGUGAUGUUGGAAUUGCAUGAGAAUGAAUUCCUGUCCCACAAAAUAUGAGAUAGCUUUCAGUUGAAGUUUCAAGUUCCCAAUUCCAUGCUGCAAUCUAUAGAUGGUUUGAAUUUGGGUCUGAAGGAUAUCCAAGAUGCCCAUCAAGGUGCCUAUUCUUUUGAUUAACUGGCUUAUUAUGUCAGUUUCAAUAAGUGUUUCCGUAAAUUACGUCCCAGCGCCUGUGCACCCUCUUAGGCUUGUGCAGCUAAGUUUGCAUGUUAAAAAUGUCAUCUUUUUUCUGCAAAGGUCUACUGUUGGUUGAAUUUUCGAUCCCAACCACGGAGCACAUAGGCCUUGAAAGGCUGUACAGAGCUAGUGGCUAGACCCACGAUCCACUGUUUGCAGGGUUCCAUUCAUGUUGAGAAUGGAUAAUUAAGAUUGUGUUGAGCAGGCAAGUUUUGAAUUGAACAUCUAUUUUCCCCAGAAUCCACAAAUUGCCUGUGCGUAUUUGCAACCCUGUAGAUUUCAUUGAUAGAGAUGUUGAUUAUUUCUCAUAAUCUAUUGUUAUGAAUUUACUGAGAUUAGUACUUUUUAUCCACCAGGCCCUCGUUUUAUUUUCUGAAGAAUCAUUCAUAUCUGGCACGCAAGAUUGCAAUGGACGAUGAGUUGGGCAUGCGGAUAAGUUAUUGUGCCUUUGUAGAGCUGGUUAAAAAUUUUCUGUUUUAGCCGUGUAUAUAUAAUAUAUUUGUUGUGAUAGCAAUUGGAUGACUGCUAAUCUUUUUCCAAUUUAACAUUCUGAUUUAGCGCAUUCUUUGUAUCCUAUAGAUCAAAUUUCAAUACGAAUCAUAAUUGAACUGUUGUUUUUAUUGUUCAGUUUGUGAGUUUUAUGUUCUCUUAAAACAUAUUUCCGUUUUGGAAAUUAAUAAAUCAAAUUUGAGAGGGUAAUAGCUGAUGUAGAUAUCUUUCAUUUCUUUAUUUAUUGAUUUUCUUUUUAAUCUCGAACAGGUAAAAACAAGUUGAUCCAUUAUGAAAGUACAGAUGCUCUCACUCAUUACAAAUAGUAUGUUCAGUACUAGUAAAAAGGGGGGAAAAGAAAAAGGAAAAAAGAAAGGCAAAAAUUGUUCAAUAAAUUCCAGGCUUGGUUAGUUCAUGAUCUAAUUUGAAAGAAACAAAUGCAUCGAAGGUUAUGGGUUUUGGCACUGCAAUUAUCUCCUUCUUCAGUUCAAUAGCUAACUUGAAAGAAACAAAUGCAUCGAUUGCAGCAUAUCGAAUCUGUUGUUUACUCAGUUUGUUUACAUCCCAUUUACUCAACGUAAUACGUUUAGAUUUCUCCAUCUCAACGUGAAGGAAUUUUAGAACCAAUCUCUUUAACCCAAAUCUCUUCAACUCUUCAUCAUCAUAUUUUGCUGCAGCCAUAUCAGCAACAUCCAUUGUUCUUGCCACAUUCAGUCCAUAAUCUUGGUAUAGUUUAUUGGCGUCGUUCUCGAUUCCUUUCCCCACGAACGUAAACUUAUCAUUCUCAAGAAAAUCGACAAGAGAUUGCGGCAUUCUGUCUUUGUGGCAUAGCUGAAAUACAAGACAUCUUUGGCCUACACAAAGUUGAAUGAUUGCUACUUUCUGGUGUUUGUUUGUCUCGGUGGGCAAACACCAUUCUGUAUCAAGACCGACAACAAGUUUGUGAAGCCUCCAACGAUGAACGUUGAUCGUUCGAGCUAUCCAACGAUCAACAUCCGAAGCACAAGAAGUCACCGCUGUGACAAAGUAAUCUUCUCCGAAGUUGAUACCCCAAAUGUUAUAGCCUAAAGGCUCAAUACUAGAAGAAGAGUUGUAGGCUAAAGGUUUGAUUUCGGCUGGUUUUGGUGACAAAGUCUUCAUAGCCAUAGAAGGUGGUGAUAAAAUUACAAGAAAUGAAAUGUGUUUAUGCAAAGUGAAUGAAAGGAAAAUAAAUAAAUAAAUAAAGAUAGCAAUGUUGUGGUUCUGAAAUGCAUGAUAUUUAUGGAGUUGUAAGCCUAUUGAUGCAUAAACAAUAAUCCAGUUAUAACAUCCCACCAACAAGUAACAACAGACAGAACAAAUUUUAAUUUAUCUUUCAUUUAUCAGUGAAUCUGAUCACAGUUAACUAGCUAACUCUACACCGGUAAAAGGUUGUUUUUUUUUUUUUUUUUCGUGUUUUUGUUUUAAGGAUUUUUUUUUGGGGAUUUGUUAAAAUAAAAGAAGAAAAAUACUCUUGAAUUAGAUAAAAUCAGCGGAAAAUUAAGGUUAGAAUAUUUCAAGCAACAAUUUGUUAUAUUUGGAUGCAUUUAAAGAAGCAUUAUUAUAGAAACAAAUUAUAACUUUUAUCUCAAAAUAACUAUAUAUUGUAGUCAUUUUCAAAUAUUAUCAAAUAGAAAAAAAAAAAUCCUCCACCUUGCAUAUAUGGAUAGCAAUAAAGAUUUGAAUUAUUUAAAUACAACAGAUAAAACACAUUUUUAUUACAAAAAGAAACUUAUCAUUAUCCCUAUUAGCAAUCUCCUCAAACAUACCACCAAUGAUAAUCUCACUGGUCAAAAGGAUUUAAAAACAAGAAAACAAAACUACAAUGGAAAAUGACAUUUAACUAGAAAAUUUGACAAAUAAAUAAACAAUGGAACUACACUAUCUUAUACAUAAUGUAAGAUAUAGCAAAUCCAUGAGUUGUCACUUAUAACAACUCAAUUAUUUUACAUGCAGUAAUUUUUUAGUUUUAGGUAACAACUCGAGAGGGUUGUUGUACAUUACAUAUGAUGUAACAAUAUAGCAUGACUCUGAACUAUGAUAAAUAUUCUCGGUUUUUUCAUUCAAUAGAAAAAUAAAAUAAAUUAACACCGAUUUAUCACUAUUUCUCUUAGUACAAUAACUAUUUGACUAGUUAGAGUGAAUACAUUUCAUUCAUUGGAAUGAUAAAGAAGUCCAAUAGUUUUAGUGUUAAACUUUGGAUUUCGCUCAGUCAUUUUAUUCUAAAAUAUGAAGCAUUUUAUUAGUACUUUAUUUUUUUACUAAUUUUAAUUUUCAUUGACAAGAAUCAGGUAAGCCAAACCAUGAAUCGAUGUAAUCGAAGUACUGUGCUUGAUAUCUUCAUUGCAGAAGUUCUAAACUUCAAUUCUGAUUUUUGGGGUAAGCCCGCCAAUAUUUGGUCACUUUGUCCUUUUUUUUUUCAUUUUUUUCCCCAAUUUAUCAGCGGAGAGCUAAUAUUUCUGCUUGAUUAUUGUGUAACUUUGACAUUGCAGCGGACCAAGUUCACGAGUAUUCUGGAAAAGUUGGGUGAGUAACUUAAUUUGUAACUUUUGUUGUUGUACUUAAUAGUGAAUUGUAUUUCAUUCAUUCUAAAUAUGACAAAUUCUUCAACAUACUUUAUGUCAUUUAAUAUUUCCUGCUUAAUUUCUUUCGUGAAAGUUAUCUUCAGAAUCGAUGCAAUUAAAUUUAUCAUUUUUUGCAAAUAAUUUGAACCAUGUCAGGGUGACUUUUGUGUUUUUGUUAGCUUUAUACUUCUGUAAUAAUUAAUGGUUCCUUUAAUGUAAUUCAACCAUGUUAAUAAUUUUUUCUCAUACACACCAUGGGGUUGCUGAAGGUAAAAGCGGUAGAAUUAUAUGGAGUUGUUUAAUUUCUUCCUAUUGAGUUAUUUCAGGUGUUAGAAUCCUUUUUCCUUGAUGUCACGAGGCUCGAAAUGUAAAAGUAAAUGGAGAACAUGAAAUAACAUGGCUUGAUGGAAAGAAAGGAGGACAACAGCUGUUGAUAGGAAAACAAAUUUUUAGAUGAUACAAGGAAACAAUAUUAUUAUUAUUAUUAGGAAAAUACUGUCUAAGCAACCUAAGAGGGGGUGAAUUGGGUUUCUAAAAAUUUAUGCAAUGUUUGAACAAAAUUUAAUGCAAAUCUUGAACGAAUUUAAAAUAACAAUAAAUAAAUCAACCAAAAUUUAAAAAGAUAAGGGAAGAGAGAUUCAAACAUAGAGAUUUUUAUGGGGUUCGGUAAACCUUUCCUACGUCCACGCCUCCAAGCUCACCGAACUUGAGGAUUCCACUAGUCAAGCCUCCAAGGUUUUAAGAACACUUACAAUUGACUUCGCAGGUGUUAAUCAACCUUUACACCAAGAGAUAUCCCCAAUCUCUUAACCCAAUUGUAUCCCAACACUUACAAUCACUCAAAAUAAAGAUUACAAAUGUGUUUUUCUCUCACACAAAAUAUAUGAUUACAAAUCAAUGCUCAAUGUGUGAAUAAAUGAAAUAAGAACGAAUUUAAAGCUCAAUGAAUGUUGUAUUCUCAAUUACAAGCUCAAUGAUAGCGUUUUGAUCAACCCUUAUUUGAAUUUGAUUGACUUUAUUUAUAGUUGGAGCUGAAAAUAGCCGUUAUUGACUUUCUGCCAGAUAUCGGAUCGCCGUUAACUGUUAUCGGUUAACCGUUCUGACUGGUCCAAGGCACCGCUCCUUUAUGAUGAAGAAAGUGAUAAAACUCCAGAAAAUGAUAGCUCUAGGUAAGAUUGUUAAACGAUUUUCAUUAUAUUGAGUUUUACAUUCAUAAGAUUGUUAAACGAUUUUCAUUUUACCAAGUUUUACUUUCGUAUGAUUGUUAAACGAUUUUCAUUUUAUCGAGUUUUACAUUAUGUUAUUUGUGUUUUUAAUCCAUUUUUCUUACUCUUCUUUCUAUUGUUAAACGAUUUUCAUUUUAUCAAGUUUUACACUAUGUUAUUUAUGUUUUGGGUCCUUCUAUCUUACAUGCAUGUAAAAUACAUUCCUCUCACAUGAAUAGUGUGUGGGUCCCACACAUGCACUAUUCAUGUGAGGGGGAUGUAUCUUACAUGCAUGUAAGAUAGGGUUUGCCUUAUGUUUUUAAUUCGUUGUUCUUACUCUUCUUUCUACAACGACAACGAACAAUUUGUGCCAGUGGUAGCACCACAAAUGAUAACACACAAUAAGUGAGUUAGAACCAGUGCUUAUUUUAUUAAAUAAAUCCUAACUAAUGUGCAUAAAUGAGCUCAUGUUAAUUGUUAACCACCAAGUUGUUUCUGUUAUCAACUUGGGCUAGAUUUUUUAUUGAAAAUACUUUAACUUAUAUCAAUUAGCUGGAGAGUUUAGUAGCGUUUUCAGCAUCUAGCUUUACUAAAGUUGUAGUCCACGUUAUGCAACUUCUUUUCUUGUCAUAGAUACAUUUUCUUGAAUUGCUCAAGUCCUUUUGCACGUCUUUGGAUGGAAUUUAAUUUUUGAGCCUUUAAUGUAACUUGUCAAAGCCUUCAGUAUUGUGUCCGCAAGAGUUUGUCUCCUGAGUUACAAUUUAGCUAAAUUAGUUCUAGCCUUAGAUUUUGUAAAUGAAUAUUAGUUGAACUUGAUAUGUUAAUGUAAUUCAAUAAUGUUAAUAUAUAUUCUCAUACACAUUGUAUAUAUUGAUUUUAUUUCAAAUGGUAGUAUCGUUUUCUUCUUGGGAUAUUUUCUCAAGGUGUCUGGCUCAUUCCCAAAAUGUUGACAUUAAUGGCGAACAUAAAGUAAGAUGACUUGAUGGAAAUUAAAUCAUGUUAAUAAUUUAUUCUCAUAGACGCUAUGAGUUGCUCAAGGUAAACUGAUUGAAUCAUCUAUGGUUGUUUAAUCUCACACAUUGCAUCAAAGCAUGUUAUAGUGGUCAUGGUGGUGCACCACAAUGACCACUAUGGUUGUGCACAGCCACAAGCAUUAUGGUUUUAGUACCUAACCCAUCACCUGAUGCAACUAGUUGAUAAAUUGUGUUCAUCAAUUUUAGGUCGACAAUAAAAGAAUGGUACUAUUGAAAAUGCAAAUUUUACAAAAAAUUCUCUUAUUAUAUAUAUGUUUGUUAAUUACAGGUUUUGUACUUUGUAUGUACACCAAAAUUUUAAAAUAAUAAUAAUAAUAAUAAUAAAUGAGGAAAUAUUCUUGAACUUCGAAUAAAAACAAGAAAGCUUAACUUAAGAAUUGUAAACUAAAACUGAACUAAAUCCAAUAUUAUUCAAAUAGUAUCUUCUUCGCCAUCUUUUUAUAUUUUACCAUACAAUUAAUUAUGUUUCAUUUAUAAACACGACGUGACAAUGACCACCCAUCAAUAUUUCUCAACCUUUUUGUCAAGUCAUUUUAAUUUUCAUUUCUUCUUUAUUUGAUUUUGGCAUCUUAAAAAAUAAUUAAAAAUAAUUGGUGGAAUGAUUUUGACCUUUAUUUUAUUUAUUUCUUAAUAGAAGUUAAAAUAAUGAACAAAUUUUAAGAUAUUGAGUUCCAAAACCUGCAACUUUAAGGACUUCAACAACUUAUCGUGAACAAAUUUUAAGAUAUUUCGCUAACUCCUAAUUUGCGCCAAUGGUGGCACCACAAAUGAUAACACACAAUAAGUGAGUUAAUUAUUGUUUUUAUUGUUUUUUGAAGUCACUCUUUAAAAUACCUCAGUAUUCUCAUGAACACUGAUGCAUCAUAGGUGAGUUAAUGACUGUUUUUAGUUUUUUUUUUAAAUCACUUUUUCAAAUAAUAAGCUCUUGAAGUAUUCUCAUGAACACUGAUGCACCAUGGGUGAGUUAUUGAUUGUUUUUGGUGUUUUUGAAAUCACUUUUUCAAAUACUAAGCUCUUGAAAUAUUCUCACGAUCAUUAACGCGUCAUAAUUAUUGUUAAAUGACAUGGAGAUUGUACGCUACAGGUGAGUCAAUCUUUUAUUUUUAUGUGUUUUGAAAUUAAUUUUAGAUACUUCUGAUAAUGUUGUUUUGUUAUUGAUAAUUUUGUUUUCUGUACACUUCAUACAUGAAUAGUGUUCUUAUUUUCUUGUUAUCAUUAUAUUGCUCCUCAUUUUAUUUAGUCUCACGAAACACACUACUUGUUUUUUUUCUGAUUCCAAAUUACUUUUUACUCGUUUGUUUAAUGAGCUAUCUGUAGUUUACACGUUUUUGGUUUCUUUGCUCGGAUUAUUCCUCUAUUUUCAAAAAGAAAUUAGUAUUGCUUUUCUUUUAAUGAGGUAUAACAUUUUCCAGGGGGAUUGUUCUAGAAAGUGGAGAAUUGAGCGGGACUAAGUCUAACAGCGGAAAAAACAAAGCUAAUCCUCUUACCGCUAAUCCAUUAGGCUAGAUUGAGGAAGGAUGAGCUCAGUGCUAUUUUCAUUCGGUUAAACGCGAAGGAGUUUUCUUUCUAUGGGCUGCGUGUUACGAUUUCUUAACGGAUCGACCACUGAUUUUACAAGCUUCCUUUUCCAAAUCGGACCUCGAGGUUUUGAAAUGGGCCUUGUUAUUGGGCCAGCUUUUGUUCCAAUAACAAACCGACACGAUUUUUUUGAAAUAUUUUAAUCGUUAACUGUUGGCUUGAACUAUAUAAUUUCGGUACUGAUUUUAUAUUUAUUUCUAUUUUUACUAACAGGCAGCAUUAAAGGAUGUUAUUGAUGAAUUACUAAGGAAGCCUUUGAGAGCAACUUUUAUUCUCCGCAAGGUUGACCAAACCUUUCAUCUGCAAAACACUCUCGUCGUGGUAUGAGAAUUAUCAUGACACUUUUAGACUUAAAUCAUGAUUAUUUAGAAAGUAAAUGACAUGUUUGUAUUGCAUUUUAAUUUUAUUUUGCAUGAAUAUCCAUUUUAGUUUAUUUUUAAUAAAUUGCCUUGUUUUAGAAUAAUUUGUGUGUUUAGAUUGUAUGCAUAAUUGUAGGUGACCGAAAGCUCAAAUUUCAAAGAAUGAAUGUUGCUACAAUAGACUUGCAAAAGAUGAAAAAGAACUUGACUAUAGAAGAAUUGAAACAAGUCUAAAAUAGUGCAUAUGUUGUAGCUCUUGCUAUAGCAUCCGUUGCUGUAUUAUUCGUUGCUGUAGCAAUCCUGAAACAACGACAAAGAUGAUUUCGCUUGAGAUAUUUAGAUGAUUGCGAUCUAGAGUUUCAUAAUCUGGAAGAUAUGCGCCCUAAACUUCUGUUUACCCUAAUUUUCAUCUAUAAAAGAAGUACACACACAAAAGAAAAGGAGAGUCAUUAUCCAAGAAGAAAAACCACAAAGAAACAAAAGAAAAACAUAAUUCAAGAUAGAUUUUGAAGGCUGCACCAGAGGAGAAAACGCAGAGAUCCAUUGAAAAUUAGUCCUUCUUGUUCUUUCUUGUUUUCUAUUUAUUCAUGGGGAUAUAUUUGAUGGUUACAACUCUUUUCUUUAUUUUUCUUUUGCAAACCAUGAACUAAAAUUAUUUAUGGUUGAGUGAUAAACAAUCUUGAUGGUUUAUUUACUAAAUAUAUGUGUUGCUGCAUGUUUGCUAUAACAUUUUAUUUUGAUAGUAUUUAUUUCUAUUUAUUAUUUCAGCUGAUCACCCAUUUAAUGAUACUAGCUAAGAAAGAGCCACAAAAGACCUUAUCUUAGUGGAACAUAUCAGAGCAAUACUUGGUUUUAGAUUGAAUUUCCUGAGUUGAGUUUACUUGAUUCUAAAAAGGCCUUGCUUAAUCUAAAAUUAGGGAUGAACUAAACAUAGUGAUUCACCUUGUAGAGUAAUUAGAACCUAAGCGUAUAAUGCUAUAUCUUAUAUUGGCGUAACAACUUAUCACUGUUAGGUUGCAUAUAUGUAUAAGAUAUCCAACAUCAUAAUGAUUAUGCGUAGUGUUAUAGCAGAUGCAAUAGCAACCAAGCCAAACAUUAGAAAAAUAGUCAAAACCAUUAAGUGAAUUUCAUCACUCAACUAUUCUAUAUUCUCAUUGGUUUUAUCCUUGAAUUUAACGUGAUAAUUUACUUUGUUGUAUUUCAUUUAGUGCAUUUUUAUUUUAAUUAGUAUAUUAGUUUCAUUAAUUUUUUUAUUUUAACUUAACAAAAUCUACACUGUUAAUAUUGUUGUAACAAGUCUGAUAACAUCAAUCCAUGUGGAAAAGAUCUUAAAUAUUCAUCAUUAUAUUACUUGUUGUGUACACUUUCACAUUAACACCCAUAACAUUAAAAAGUUACAACAAGUUUUUAGCGCCGUUACUAGGGAUUGAUUGUUUAUUAUAAUUUGUGAAAUUAGUUUUAACGGUGCUAAUUUUUAAUUCUAUUUUAAUUUGUUUACUUUGUUGGCAUAGGUGAUCUAGCAGUCAUAGCAUGCGCAAAUAUAAAUCUGUUUAAUUCCAAUUUGACACAAAAAUUUAAAGAAUUGUAAGGAGAUUGAGAAGAGAGCAUUGGAAAUUACAAGCUGUUGUAGCAAUGGAUAAUUUGCAAGAUAUGAGAAACUUGAAUCCCCGAGGAGAACUACAACCAGUCAAUGUACAUGAACGUCUGAAUGGACAAAAUGUUCAAUGAAAACCAGGGAAUAACAACGUUAUUCACAUGGUGAACAAUAGAGAUAGAGCCAUUCGAGACUAUGCAUUGUUGACUCCUCAUGUGCAUACAUCCUAGAAUAGUUAAACCCGAUGUUCAAGCUGACAAUUUUGAGCUUAAACCCAUCAUGUUUCAGACAUUGCAGACAGUGGGGCAAUUAAGUAAGUGAUGCCUUUAAAAUUGUUGGAGCAACGAAUGAAGCAUUGAGACUCAGACUUUUCAUGUUUUCUUUGAGAGAUCAAGCAAGCGUAUGGUUGAAUUCUUUAUCACCUGAUUCCAUCACUACAUAGAAUGACUUGGCUGAUAAAUUUUGGAUGAAAUACUUCCCACCGACCAAGAAUGCAAAAUUGAGGAAUGAGAUCACAUCUUUCCAUCAACUUGAAGAUGAGAGUUUGUAUGAUGCAUAAGAAAGAUUUAAGGAGUUACUUAGGAGAUGUCUUCAUCAUGGUAUUUUGUGCUGUAUACAAUUGGAAACUUUCUAUAAUGGUCUCAACCCAAACACUAGAUUGAUGGUGGACACUUCAGCAAAUUGGGCCUUGUUGUCUAAAUCUUAUAAUGAAGCUUAUGAAAUUUUUGAGAGGAUAGCUAAUAAUAAUUAUCAGUGGCCAUUAACUAGACAAGUUGCAACAAGAGGAGCAGCAGGAGUUCAUAAUGUAGAUGCCUUGAUAGAAUUAUCAGCCCAAGUAACUUUAACAAUUUUGAUGAAGGUGCUAUGACUACUGCUCCAGUAACUAUUAACCAAAAUUCUAAUGUGUCUUGUGUUUAUUGUGGAGAAAAGCAUUUAUUUGACAAUUUUCCUAGAAAUCCAGCUUUAGUCAAUUAUGUGGGCAGCUUUAAUAGACAAAAUCAGAACAAUCCAUAUUCAAACACUUACAACCCUAGAUGGAGACAACACCCUAACUUUUCAUGGAGUAAUCAGAAUCAGCCUGCUGCAACAUCCAAUGGAUAGAACAGACCUGCUUAGCACCUGAAUUCUAUCAGCAAAAUCAAGGGCAAAGAAGCAUCAACAAUGAUCAACUCAGCUCCCUUGAAACUUUGAUUAAGUAUUAUAUUGUGAAGAAUGAAGCAGUUGUCCAAAGGCAUGCUAUAUCUUUGAGAAAUCUGGAAAAUCAACUUGGAUAGCCUGCUACAGCAUUAAGCAACAUACCUUAGGGUAGUAUGCCCAGCAACACAGAGGAUCCAAAAAGAGAAGGGAAAGACUACUGCAAAGUGAUUUACUGGAGAUCUGGAAAGGAUGUUUAUAGUCCAGUUAGUGUACCAAAAAGAAGAGUUGAAUUCACUUCAAUCCAAAGAGAAACCCAAAUUGAAGAAGAGCCACAAUCCUCUACUUCACAACACACUGGUAAGAACAGCCAAGUUACAACAUUUACAGAAAAUGAUGAUCCAACACUUAUAGAUAACGAUGCUGCAUCACCAACCCAAAACAUGGUAAAAGAGAAGUAAUCUGCACAACCUGAUGCAGCACCGCAGUUUGAAAUGGGUCUUGUUAUUGGGCCGGCCUUCGCUUCAAAACAAACCGACACAAUUUUUCUUCUUUAAGAUUUUAAUCGUCAACCGCUGGCUUGAACUAUAUAAUUUUGCUUCUGAUUUUAUUUUUAUUUUUAUUUUUAAUAACAGGCAGCAUUAAAGGAUGUUAUUGAUGAAUUACUAAGGAAGCCUUUGAAAGCAGAUUUUAUUCUCUACUAGGUUGACAAAACCUUUAAUCUGUAAGACACUCUCGUUGUGGUAUGGACAAUUGAUUGUGAAUAAAUUUUUGUCUAUCCCUUUUUAGUUUUUUAAUUUUAGUUAUUAAUGUGGCAGUUCAAGGAGAUUUUUGGAUCAAGGGCAAAUGUUAUUGUCACUUUGUUAGCUGGUAUGAUGGGAACUAGAGAAGCUUUAGAUGUGUACCAAGAGGUUUGAUCUUUUUUUUUUUUAACUUUUUUUUUCAAUUUUUUUUCUUUUUUCGAUUCUGCAGGGUCAAUAGUUUUCUAUGUAAUUACAGGUGAAAUUUACAAAUACUCAGCAUAAUGAUUCUCACAUUGGGUUGUGCAUCUUUUUUCUGCCGGGAGUAAAGGUAAACACGUUUCCAGUAAAGAGGGUUUCAGUGCGGAAGGUAAUAAAUUUCCUUCUAGUCUAGUAUCUUUAUUGCAUCCUUGUUUUAUUUUAGCCAAUCAUAUGCUUUUGAGUUUCUCUAUUUACCAUCCAGAGCAUGUAACAUGUUUCGGACACUCUACGUAUAACGAAUCUUAAGGUUUAGUCUAAGAGUAAAGUAUGGAUUAAGUGAGUUGACCAACAAACCAACAAUGUAAUAAGUAUAUAAUAAAGUAUUGAACUAGUUUGCAUUCAUUUGUAUUACUGUGAUUUUGUAUGAAAGGUUAGGUUUAUUAGAAGUUGUAGAAGUGUGAGUUGGUUGUGGUCAAAUUUCCUAGAAACAGGCCUCCAGGGAUUAGGAUUAGGGCCAAGACAGUACCUGGAAAAUAUCUCCUUAAGAUCAUUAGUUUAGUUGACUUCUUAGCCAAAGGGAGGUGAUAAUAUAGAAUAUUCUCUACAAAGUAGAUAUCAUCAACAAGUUGAGAAUCAAAGUAACUACAUCAGCAUUUAGAGACUGCAAUUAAAGCUAAUGCUUAUUUUAUUAAGCUAGAUCCUAGCUCUUUUAUCAAAAAGACUUAUGUCCAUUAACUGAAGUCUUCAGCUCCGUUUUCAGCAGCUAGCUUUACUGAAGUUGUAGUCCAAGUAAUGUAACUUCUUUUCUUGUCAUAGAUUCUUUUUCUUGCAUUGCUUGAGUCCUUUUUCACGUGCUUGGAUGGAAAUUUUUGAGCCUUAAAUGUAACUUGUCAAGAGCCUUCAAUGUUGUUUCGGCAAAAGUUUGUCUCUUGAGUUACAAUUUAGCUAAAUUAAUUCUAGCCUCUGAUUUUAUGAAUGAAUGUUGGUUGAACUUGAUAUGUUGUAAUUCCCUCAGUAUUUUUGUUGAACUCUUUGUAUGCAGAAUAACAAGAAAACUCUUUUAGUAUACUUAAGCAAAAGCAUAAUCCAGGAAAAUUACAUCUUGGUCAAACAUGUCAAAUUUAAUAAUAUGAAUUUUGCUUAUGCAAUUCUGUACUUGGCUAAAUUAUAUAUAUUCUGACACUUUGUUUUAUAAUGUAAAACUUCGGGCUUUGUUUAGUCACUUUAUACAAAAAUAUGAAGCAUUUUAUCAUCACCCGAUUCUUUUAACUAACUUUGAUUUUCAUUGACAUGAAUUAGGCGAAUGAAGACAUGAAUCAGGCUAACGAAGACAUGAAUCAGCGAAGUAUUGUGCUUGAUAACUUCUUGGCAGAAGUUCAAGGCUUCUCUCCAUCGCCACUACUUAUUCUGAUAUUUGGGGUAAGCUCAUUAAUGUUUUCUGCUGUACGGCCAAGGCGGAUGUACGGUACAGCAGAGACUCGCUCUUUGUGAACCGUUAGAUUCCGUCCGACUGUAUUUGUCCAGAGCAACUUUAAUUGUUGUUCCGUCGUAUUUAGUUGAUCAUUGGAAAACCCAAAUCCAACAGCAUGUCAGACCUGGACAGUUGCAUCUUUUUGUCUGGACCGAUCAUAAAAAGCCUUCUGCUCAUAGUCUGGCUUGGGACUAUGAUGUUGUUAUAACUACAUUUAACCGUUUAAGUGCAGAGUGGGGUCGGCGAAAGAAAAGUCCAAUGAUGCAAGUUCAUUGGCUUAGGGUUAUGUUAGAUGAAGGGCAUACCCUUGGUUCAAGUCUUAACUUGACAAACAAAUUGCAAAUGGCUAUUUCAUUGACAGCUUCAAAUCGUUGGUUAUUAACAGGAACCCCGACUCCAAACACACCUAAUAGCCAGUUGUCACAUCUUCAACCAAUGCUUAAGUUCCUCCAUGAAGAAGCAUAUGGCCAGAAUCAAAAGGCAUGGGAUGGUGGCAUUCUUAGACCAUUUGAGGCAGAGAUGGAGGAGGGUCGAUCCCGUCUGUUGCAGCUACUCCAUAGGUGCAUGAUCAGUGCAAGAAAGACAGAUUUGCAAACCAUUCCUCUUUGCAUCAAGGAGGUGACAUUUUUAAAUUUCACUGAGGAGCAUGCAGGAACUUACAAUGAAUUGGUAGUUACAGUGCGGCGUAAUAUACUAAUGGCUGAUUGGAACGAUCCUUCACAUGUUGAAAGUUUACUGAAUCCAAAGCAGUGGAAGUUCCGAAGUACAACUAUUAGGAAUCUAAGGCUAUCCUGCUGU